GAUGAACGCUGGCGGUAUGCUUAACACAUGCAAGUCGAACGGACUCUUCGGAGUUAGUGGCGGACGGGUGAGUAACGCGUGAGAAUCUGGCUUUGGGUUUGGGACAACCACUGGAAACGGUGGCUAAUACCGGAUGUGCCGAGAGGUAAAAGAGAAAUUGCCUGAAGAUGAGCUCGCGUCUGAUUAGCUAGUUGGUGUGGUAAAGGCUCACCAAGGCAGCGAUCAGUAGCUGGUCUGAGAGGAUGACCAGCCACACUGGGACUGAGACACGGCCCAGACUCCUACGGGAGGCAGCAGUGGGGAAUUUUCCGCAAUGGGCGAAAGCCUGACGGAGCAAUACCGCGUGAGGGAAGAAGGCUCUUGGGUUGUAAACCUCUUUUCUUAGGGAAGAACAAAAUGACGGUACCUAAGGAAUCAGCAUCGGCUAACUCCGUG
rnacentral:rRNA from 1 species